CCAGGUGGCUUCCUGUUUGAAGGGCUCUCUGAUGAUGAGGAUGACUUUCACCCAAGUGCCCGGUCCACGCCCUCGAGCAGCACACCCAGCUCCCGCCCGGCUUCCCUGGGGUACAGCGGAGCUGCCGGGCCCCGGCCCAUCACCCAGAGCGAGCUGGCCACUGCCCUGGCCCUGGCCAGCACUCCGGAGAGCAGCUCUCACACGCCAACUCCUGGCACCCAGGGCCAUUCCUCAGGGACCUCCCCUAUGUCCUCCAGC